CAGACAAAGACUAGCGGCAAGAAUCAGAAGUCGGAAAGCAUCCAGGCUUAUCUCAGCAGGUUUGGUGUUUUUAUCUAAGCAAGAAACUCAUCCAGCCUAAUCUUCUCCACAUUUUCUAUUUCUAAGGGCUUGGUUUUUGCAGCCACUUUCCUGCCUGCUCAGGGGAGAUUUUCCAGAAAAGACCUCAUAGCAUUUCCACUGCUCAGCCAUGCUCCUGUUUCUCAUCUCAACACUGGGGAUUGUAGUUACCCUGAGAGAUGCCAGAGCCCAGUCAGUGACCCAACCUGAUGGCCAUGUCUUGGUCUCUGAAGCAGCCUCACUGGAACUGAGGUGCAACUAUUCCUAUGGUGCAGCAGUUUACCUCUUCUGGUACGUCCAGUACCCCCGCCAAGGCCUCCAGCUUCUCCUUAAGCAUUUUUCAGGCCAGGACACCCGCGUUCCAGGCAUUAAAGGAUUUGAAGCUGAAUUUAGGAAGAGUAACUCUUCCUUCAACCUGAGGAAAUCCUCUGCCCAUUGGAGCGACUCGGCUGAGUACUUCUGUGCUGUGAGUGACACAGUGCCUGGGACUGCAGGGGGAGCUGAACACAAACCACUCAGGGGAGUGGAGUUUUCAGAGACUCAAGAUGCCUUCCUGUGGUAUUUUGAACAAUGUUUUAUUGUAUGAUGGCAAAUGAGGCAAAGAGGGCUGAGCAGAA